AUGCGUACAAGCAGUGGGAGCCUACUUGUUAGGUGACUGCGUACCUUUUGUAUAAUGGGUCAGCGACUUAUAUUCAGUGGCAAGCUUAACCGUAUAGGGUAGGCGUAGCGAAAGCGAGUCUUAAUAGGGCGUUUAGUCGCUGGGUAUAGACCCGAAACCGGGCGAUCUAUCCAUGAGCAGGUUGAAGGUUAGGUAACACUGACUGGAGGACCGAACCCACUCCCGUUGAAAAGGUAGGGGAUGACUUGUGGAUCGGAGUGAAAGGCUAAUCAAGCUCGGAGAUAGCUGGUUCUCCUCGAAAGCUAUUUAGGUAGCGCCUCAUGUAUCACUCUGGGGGGUAGAGCACUGUUUCGGCUAGGGGGUCAUCCCGACUUACCAAACCGAUGCAAACUCCGAAUACCCAGAAGUGCCGAGCAUGGGAGACACACGGCGGGUGCUAACGUCCGUCGUGAAAAGGGAAACAACCCAGACCGCCAGCUAAGGUCCCAAAGUUGUGGUUAAGUGGUAAACGAUGUGGGAAGGCUUAGACAGCUAGGAGGUUGGCUUAGAAGCAGCCACCCUUUAAAGAAAGCGUAAUAGCUCACUAGUCGAGUCGGCCUGCGCGGAAGAUGUAACGGGGCUCAAACCACACACCGAAGCUGCGGGUGUCACGUAAGUGACGCGGUAGAGGAGCG
rnacentral:rRNA from 1 species